UACGUAGGGGGCAAGCGUUGUCCGGAUUUAUUGGGCGUAAAGAGCGUGUAGGCGGUUUGGUAGGUCCGCUGUGAAAACUCGAGGCUCAACCUCGAGACGCCGAUGGAAACCAUCUAACUAGAGUCCGGAAGAGGAGAAUGGAAUUCCUGGUGUAGCGGUGAAAUGCGCAGAUAUCAGGAAGAACACCCGUGGCUAAGGCGGUUCUCUAGUACGGUACUGACGCUGAGACGCGAAAGCGUGGGGAGCGAACAGG
rnacentral:rRNA from 1 species